AACAUCAAUCGCAGAUUCACCCUUCGCUAUAAAGAUUGGCUUUGCUUUUCGUCUAUGGGAAGCCAAUUUGGAGGUUUACAAGUGGAUAUAAGCGUAGAUUAACCUUAAAUGGAGCACGUUUCUGGGCGCCUGGUGUUGACUAAAAUAAUGGAACACUGGGAAUCAGUUGUGACUACAAUU
rnacentral:snoRNA from 1 species